rnacentral:rRNA from 1 species
GAUGAACGCUGGCGGCGUGCCUAAUACAUGCAAGUCGAACUGGGAGUAGCAAUACUCUUAGUGGCGAACGGGUGAGUAACGCGUUGGUACCUGCCCCGAAGCGGGGGAUAACGGACCGAAAGGUCCGCUAAUACCCCAUGUGCUCGGUAACGAGUAAAGGUGAAAACCACUUUGGGAGGGGCCUACGUCCCAUCAGCUAGUUGGUAAGGUAACGGCUUACCAAGGCGAUGACGGGUAGGGGACCUGAGAGGGUGGCCCCCCACAAUGGAACUGAAACACGGUCCAUACACCUACGGGUGGCAGCAGUAGGGAAUAUUGGUAAUGGGCGCAAGCCUGAACCAGCAACGCCGCGUGUGCGAUGACGGCCUUCGGGUUGUAAAGCACUUUUGACUGGGACGAGGAAGGACGGUACCGGUCGAAUCAGCCUCGGCUAACUACGUG